UUUUUUAAAAUGGCAUAAAGCCUAUUUAUACAAGCUUACAACUUGACAACUUAGUUGGAAUACAACUAAGUUUCAUCAUUACAUCCACUUAAAAUAAAUCACCACCUACUACCACUAACAAACUUAGUUGGAAUACAACUAAGUUUCAUCAUUACAUCCACUUAAAAUAAAUCACCACCUACUACCACUAACAAACUUAGUUGGAAUACAACUAAGUUACAUCAUUACAUCCAAAUAAUAAUAAUAAUAAUAAUAAUAAUAAUAAUAAUAAUAAAACAUGUGAUUGCUACAUGCUAACCAUUGCUUCAAUA
rnacentral:lncRNA from 1 species